rnacentral:rRNA from 1 species
AGAGUUUGAUCCUGGCUCAGGACGAACGCUGGCGGCGUGCUUAACACAUGCAAGUCGAACGAGAGGAGAAGGAAGCUUGCUUCUUUCAAAUCUAGUGGCAAACGGGUGAGUAACACGUAAACAACCUGCCUUCAGGAUGGGGACAACAGACGGAAACGACUGCUAAUACCGAAUACGUUCCUUAGGUCGCAUGACCUUGGGAAGAAAGGGUGGCCUCUACUUGUAAGCUAUCGCCUGAAGAGGGGUUUGCGUCUGAUUAGGUAGUUGGUGAGGUAACGGCCCACCAAGCCGACGAUCAGUAGCCGGUCUGAGAGGAUGAACGGCCACACUGGAACUGAGACACGGUCCAGACUCCUACGGGAGGCAGCAGUGGGGAAUCUUCCGCAAUGGGCGAAAGCCUGACGGAGCAACGCCGCGUGAGUGAUGACGGCCUUCGGGUUGUAAAGCUCUGUGAUCGGGGACGAACGGUCAGCAGACGAAUACUCUGCUGAAGUGACGGUACCCGAAUAGCAAGCCACGGCUAACUACGUGCCAGCAGCCGCGGUAAUACGUAGGUGGCAAGCGUUGUCCGGAAUUAUUGGGCGUAAAGCGCGCGCAGGCGGCUUCUUAAGUCCAUCUUAAAAGUGCGGGGCUUAACCCCGUGAUGGGAUGGAAACUGAGAGGCUGGAGUAUCGGAGAGGAAAGUGGAAUUCCUAGUGUAGCGGUGAAAUGCGUAGAGAUUAGGAAGAACACCGGUGGCGAAGGCGACUUUCUGGACGACAACUGACGCUGAGGCGCGAAAGCGUGGGGAGCAAACAGGAUUAGAUACCCCUGGUAGUCCACGCCGUAAACGAUGAAUACUAGGUGGUAGGAGGUAUCGACCCCCUUUUGUGCCGGAGCUAACACAAUAAGUAUUCCGCCUGGGAAAGUACGAUCCGCAAGAUUAAAACUCCAAAGGAAUUGGACGGGGGGCCCCGCCAAACCGGUGGGAAGUUAUGUGGGUUUAAAUCCGAACGCACCCCCGAAGAAACCUUUCCCAGGGCUUUGGAAUUUGGUUCGCUAUUCCAAAAAAUUUGGAGAAUUCUCUCUUCCGAAGGACAGAAAAAACAAGGUGGGGGCCCGGGUUGCUCUCACCUCCGGUCCCUGGAAGAAAUUUGGUGUUAUAUCCCCGCACCAAAGCGCAACCCCCUACUCUUAUGUUCACACACCCCCUUAUUUGGUGGGGUACUCAUGAGAGACCGCCGCGGACAACGCGGAGGAAGGUGGGGAUGACGUCAAGUCAUCAUGCCCCUUAUGACCUGGGCUACACACGUACUACAAUGGGUGUCAACAAAGAGAAGCGAAGCCGCGAGGCAGAGCAAACCUCAAAAACACACCCCCAGUUCAGAUUGCAGGCUGCAACCCGCCUGCAUGAAGUAGGAAUCGCUAGUAAUCGCGGGUCAGCAUACCGCGGUGAAUACGUUCCCGGGCCUUGUACACACCGCCCGUC